GUCUACACCCAUACCACCCUGAAUGCGCCAGAUCUCAUCUGAUAUCCAAAGCUAAGCAGGGUUGGGCCUGGUUAGUACCUGGAUAAGAGGCCAAAGAGGGAAGAAACAUGUAAGGAAAGAAG
rnacentral:rRNA from 1 species